GUAGGCAAGUAGUUGGACAAAAAGCAAGAAGCUGAUCGAUGUUGCUGGCUUUGGAUUCUUUGUGAACAAAUGAGACAAGGCUGCAAAUUCAGAGGAUCCUCCCAGAAGAUAAGAUGGAUCAGGUCACCACCUUCUUCCCUGCUUCACACCCUCAGGCCCCGACUCUCGUCUGCUGAGAUCACUCUCCAAACCAAUCUUCCCUUACAAAGCCCUUGUUGCAGGCUAUGCUUUCUGAGGGGAACCCAGGCCAAGACACUAAAAUGACACACCAACAUGAAGACAUGAACACAAUUGCAAAGGGAUUGGUUGGAUUGCAUAUCUCUGUGAAUGGGACUCAAGAGAAGUUUGGGAAAUGCUGGACCAGAUGACCCUUGCAAUCAUGGUGCACAGAAUUAAAACCGUCAAGGUCCCCAUCCAUCUCUGAGAUGGAUGAGAAUCUGAGUCUUCCACAAGAUGCCCAAGACUUGUUAAACCCGUGGAAUGUCUUUGGGUAUGUGUGACAUCAACAAGAAGCAGCAGACAAAACAAAAUAUUUUCACAAACAUUCAGAAAUCCUUAAAUCUUCCCCUUUUGUCUAAAAUAGUGAUGUACAUUCAAUGCAAAGGGCAAAUGGAACCAUUGAAAAGUACUUUUUGCAUCCAAAACAGCCAACGCUUUGGUGCCUGCUAUGUGUCAGACACUGAUUCUUCUGUCAUCCUUAUUCUACUGAUGAGGCAACUGAGGCAGCUUCAGAGAGUUCGAGUAACCUGCAGAUCACACAACUAGGAAGUAAGAGAGCUGGAACUUGACGUUGGGCUGUUGACCUCCAGAAAUGGUGUUUUUUCCAGUACUCAGUGCUGCCUCUGACUCCAUUGUGAUGGUUG
rnacentral:lncRNA from 1 species